GUGGGGAAUAUUGCACAAUGGAGGAAACUCUGAUGCAGCGACGCCGCGUGAAGGAUGAAGUAUUUCGGUAUGUAAACUUCUAUCAGCAGGGAAGAAAAUGACGGUACCUGACUAAGAAGCCCCGGCUAACUACGUGCCAGCAGCCGCGGUAAUACGUAGGGGGCAAGCGUUAUCCGGAUUUACUGGGUGUAAAGGGAGCGUAGACGGCUUUGCAAGCCAGAUGUGAAAGCCCGGGGCUCAACCCCGGGACUGCAUUUGGAACUGUAAUGCUAGAGUGUCGGAGAGGCAAGUGGAAUUCCUAGUGUAGCGGUGAAAUGCGUAGAUAUUAGGAGGAACACCAGUGGCGAAGGCGGCUUGCUGGACGAUGACUGACGUUGAGGCUCGAAAGCGUGGGGAGCAAACAGGAUUAGAAACCCUAGUAGUCC
rnacentral:rRNA from 1 species